rnacentral:rRNA from 1 species
GCCUACGGGGGGCAGCAGUGGGGAAUAUUGCACAAUGGGCGCAAGCCUGAUGCAGCAACGCCGCGUGAGUGAUGAAGGUCUUCGGAUUGUAAAGCUCUGUCUUUUGGGACGAUAAUGACGGUACCAAAGGAGGAAGCCACGGCUAACUACGUGCCAGCAGCCGCGGUAAUACGUAGGUGGCAAGCGUUGUCCGGAUUUACUGGGCGUAAAGGGUGCGUAGGUGGAUAUUUAAGUCAGAUGUGAAACCCCUGGGCUCAACUCAGGGACUGCAUUUGAAACUGGAUAUCUGGAGUGCAGGAGAGGUAAGUGGAAUUCCUAGUGUAGCGGUGAAAUGCGUAGAGAUUAGGAAGAACACCAGUGGCGAAGGCGACUUACUGGACUGUAACUGACACUGAGGCACGAAAGCGUGGGUAGCAAACAGGAUUAGAUACCCGUGUAGUCCG